rnacentral:rRNA from 1 species
GUCUACGGCCAUACCACUGAGAAAGCACCGGUUCUCGUCCGAUCACCGAAGUUAAGCUCAGUAGGGCGCGGUAAGUACUUGGAUGGGUGACCGCU